UGAGGUGAGGACAAGGAGGACAAGGAGAAUGAGGAUGAUGAGGACGAGGAGCAUGAGGCUGAGGAUGAAGACGAGCAGGAGGAUGAGGAUGAAGACGAAGGCGACGAGGAGCCCCCACCUUGUUGAAGCUGCUGCGGUCGCUGAUGCUCUUGCUGAGCUGCUGCAUCUCGGCCACCUGGUCGGCCAAGCGCUUCUGCUCGUUGAGCUUCUCGGCCAGCGUCUCCAGCUCGGUCAGCGCCAGCUGCAGGGACAGGCGGUCGGCGUGGCCGCGCGGGGUGUUCUUCAGCAUGUCCUGGGACACGGAAACACCGGGAAUGGCCCUGAGGAACCGCCACGGCAACGGCACGGAGCCUCCAACACCGGGGCUUGGAGGGUGAUCCUUGGGUGGAUCCAAAAGUCCAACCUGGGUGCCCACUCCAAAGUGUGUCUCUGUCAUGCAGCCUCCAAAAGGGUGCUUCUCCAGAAAAUCCCAAAAACUUUCUCUAAAACCUCCUCAAAACCUUCUCUGGAGCCUCCCCAAAAUCUUCUCUGCAGUGUCCCCAGUCCUUGUCCAGAACCUCCAAAAACCUUCUCCAGAACCUCCAAAAAAGCUUCUCUAGAACCUCCUCAAAACCUUCUCUGGAACCUCCCCAGUCCUUGUCCAGAACCUCCUCAAAACCUUCUCCAGAACCUCCUAAAAACCUUCUCCGGAAUCUCUACAACCUCGCCCAAAACCUCUCUAAAACCUCCAGAACCUCCUCAAAACCUUCUCUGGAACCUCCCCAGUCCUUGUCCAGAACCUCCUCAAAACCUUCACCAGAAUCUCCCGAAAACUUUCUCCAGAACAUCUUCAAGCCUUCUCCAGAGCCUCCCCAGUUCUUGUCCAGAACCUCCUCAAAACCUUCCAGAACCUCCUAAAAACCUUCUUCGGAAUCUCUGCAACCUUGCCCAAAACCUCUCUAAAACCUCCAGAACCUCCUCAAAACCUUCUCCAGAACCUCCAAAAAACCUUUUCCAGAAUCUUGCAUCUUUGCCCAGAACCUUCUCCAGAACCUCUCAAAAACCUUCUCCAAAAGCU
rnacentral:lncRNA from 1 species